rnacentral:rRNA from 1 species
AACGAACGCUGGCGGCAUGCCUAACACAUGCAAGUCGAACGAGACCUUCGGGUCUUGUGGCGCACGGGUGCGUAACGCGUGGGAACCUGCACUUAGGUUUGGAAUAACUCCCCGAAAGGGGUGCUAAUACCGGAUAAUGUCUUCGGACCAAAGAUUUAUUGCGAUUGGAUGGGCCCGCGUUGGAUUAGCUGGUUGGUAGGGUAAGAGCCUACCAAGGCGACGAUCCAUAGCUGGUCUGAGAGGAUGAUCAGCAACACUUGGACUGAGACGCGGCCCAGAAUCCUACGGGAGGCGGCAGUGGAGAAUGGUGGACAGUGGGCGAAAGGCUGAUCCAGCAAGGCCGCGUAAGUGAUGAAGGCCUUAGGGUUGAAAAGCGCUUUUACCCGUGAUGAUAAUGACGGUACCGGGAGAAUAAGCUCCGGCUAACUCCGUG